rnacentral:rRNA from 1 species
CAGAGGUGGCAAGCGUUGUUCGGAAUUACUGGGCGUAAAGGGCGCGUAGGCGGCCUUGUGAGUCAGACGUGAAAUCCCCAGGCUUAACUUGGGAACUGCGUCUGAUACUGCAAGGCUCGAGUGCGGGAGAGGGAUGUGGAAUUCCAGGUGUAGCGGUGAAAUGCGUAGAUAUCUGGAGGAACACCGGUGGCGAAGGCGGCAUCCUGGACCGACACUAACGCUGAGGCGCGAAAGCUAGGGGAGCAAACGGGAUUAGAUACCCCGGUAGUCCUAGCCCUAAACGAUGAGUGCUUGGUGUGGCGGGUAUCGAUCCCUGCCGUGCCGAAGCUAACGCAUUAAGCACUCCGCCUGGGGAGUACGGUCGCAAGGCUG